rnacentral:rRNA from 1 species
CUGGUAAUGCAGGGGACUCUAGCGAAACUAGCCACCGUAAGGUGAGAGGAAGGUGGGGAUGACGUCAAAUCAGCACGGCCCUUAUGUCCAGGGCUACACACGUGUUACAAUGGUCGGUACAGAGGGCAGCUACCUGGUGACAGGAUGCUAAUCUCGAAAACCGGUCUCAGUUCGGAUCGAAGUCUGCAACUCGACUUCGUGAAGCUGGAUUCGCUAGUAAUCGCGCAUCAGCUAUGGCGCGGUGAAUACGUUCCCGGGCCUU